rnacentral:rRNA from 1 species
AUUGAACGCUGGCGGCAGGCCUAACACAUGCAAGUCGAGCGGUAGGGAGAAGCUUGCUUCUCUUGAGAGCGGCGGACGGGUGAGUGAUGCCUAGGAAUCUGCCUGGUAGUGGGGGAUAACGUUCGGAAACGGACGCUAAUGCCGCAUACGUCCUACGGGAGAAAGCAGGGGACCUUCGGGCCUUGCGCUAUCAGAUGAGCCUAGGUCGGAUUAGCUAGUUGGUGGGGUAAUGGCUCACCAAGGCGACGAUCCGUAACUGGUCUGAGAGGAUGAUCAGUCACACUGGAACUGAGACACGGUCCAGACUCCUACGGGAGGCAGCAGUGGGGAAUAUUGGACAAUGGGCGAAAGCCUGAUCCAGCCAUGCCGCGUGUGUGAAGAAGGUCUUCGGAUUGUAAAGCACUUUAAGUUGGGAGGAAGGGUUGUAGAUUAAUGCUCUGCAAUUUUGACGUUACCGACAGAAUAAGCACCGGUAA